rnacentral:rRNA from 1 species
AUGAACGCUGGCGGCGUGCUUAACACAUGCAAGUCGAACGAAGCAUUUGCGACAGAUUUUUUCGGAAUGAAGUUGCUUAUGACUGAGUGGCGGACGGGUGAGUAACGCGUGGGUAACCUGCCUUGUACUGGGGGAUAGCAGCUGGAAACGGCUGGUAAUACCGCAUAAGCGCACAAUGUUGCAUGACAUGGUGUGAAAAACUCCGGUGGUAUAAGAUGGACCCGCGUCUGAUUAGCUAGUUGGUGAGAUAACAGCCCACCAAGGCGACGAUCAGUAGCCGACCUGAGAGGGUGACCGGCCACAUUGGGACUGAGACACGGCCCAGACUCCUACGGGAGGCAGCAGUGGGGAAUAUUGCACAAUGGAGGAAACUCUGAUGCAGCGACGCCGCGUGAGUGAAGAAGUAAUUCGUUAUGUAAAGCUCUAUCAGCAGGGAAGAUAGUGACGGUACCUGAAUAAGAAGCUCCGGCUAAAUACGUG